rnacentral:lncRNA from 1 species
UGAUAGUAUCAAAUGAUAGAACAAAAGAUUUAUGAUCCAAUGGUGAAAAUUUUAUUGAUUUUGGACUUGUAUUUUGAAAGAUAUGCAUGAUUGAAAAUCAUGAGUCGACCCAUGAGUCGACUCAUAGCACAUGAGAUGACUGGCACGCUGAUUUUCCUGGCCGGCACAGACUUGGUAAAACCUGUGAGUCGACCCAUGAGUCGACCCCCAAGGCAUG